GGAAGAGAUAAGUGCUGAAAGCAUCUAAGCACGAAACUUGCCCCGAGAUGAGUUCUCCCUGACCCUUUAAGGGUCCUGAAGGAACGUUGAAGACGACGACGUUGAUAGGCCGGGUGUGUAAGCGCAGCGAUGCGUUGAGCUAACCGGUACUAAUGAACCGUGAGGCUUAACCUUACAACGCCGAAGCUGUU
rnacentral:rRNA from 1 species